AUUGAACGCUGGCGGCAUGCUUUACACAUGCAAGUCGAACGGUAACAGGCCGCAAGGUGCUGACGAGUGGCGAACGGGUGAGUAAUGCAUCGGAACGUGCCCAGUCGUGGGGGAUAACGCAGCGAAAGCUGUGCUAAUACCGCAUACGAUCUAUGGAUGAAAGCGGGGGACCGUAAGGCCUCGCGCGAUUGGAGCGGCCGAUGUCAGAUUAGGUAGUUGGUGGGGUAAAGGCCUACCAAGCCGACGAUCUGUAGCUGGUCUGAGAGGACGACCAGCCACACUGGGACUGAGACACGGCCCAGACUCCUACGGGAGGCAGCAGUGGGGAAUUUUGGACAAUGGGCGCAAGCCUGAUCCAGCAAUGCCGCGUGCAGGAAGAAGGCCUUCGGGUUGUAAACCGCUUUUGUACGGAACGAAACGGUCUGGGUUAAUACCCUGGGCUAAUGACGGUACCGUAAGAAUGAGCACCGGCUAACUACGUGCCAGCAGCCGCCGUAAGAC
rnacentral:rRNA from 1 species